rnacentral:lncRNA from 1 species
AUGGCACUUAGACCACACUGCUUAAUGGACUCCUGUGAGAGGAAAGGGGUUGGCUCAUCAAGCAAGAUGGUCUCUCUGAAUCAGCAAUCUCCAGUAAAAUUUUCAUACCUGAGUGAUCUGUUCCGGUGUCUGAAGACUCACUCAGUAAAGGAAGAAAAGAAGCUCAUUCUGCCUCAACGUUAGCUUUAUGAGAAGAAUGCUGGAGGUGCACAUCCCAUGUUAAGAUAUUGUAAGGUUUAAUAAAAGUUAAACUAUACAGGUAGUACUGAGAAAAAAAACCAACCCUGCAGUACAUCACUAGAUAGAAUUAAUGGGCUCAGAGAAAAUAAAUAUACUGCAAUCAAAGUGAAAUUAGUUUUUAAUUUAAUCAAAUUUGGUUCUGGAAAUUAUAGAAUUUUUAUUUUUUCUGUCAGAAUACAAAGGGU